GACGAACGCUGGCGGCGUGCUUAACACAUGCAAGUCGAACGGAAAGGCCCUGCUUUUGUGGGGUGCUCGAGUGGCGAACGGGUGAGUAACACGUGAGUAACCUGCCCUUGACUUUGGGAUAACUUCAGGAAACUGGGGCUAAUACCGGAUAGGAGCGCCUGCUUCAUGGUGGGGGUUGGAAAGUUUCGGCGGUUGGGGAUGGACUCGCGGCUUAUCAGCUUGUUGGUGGGGUAGUGGCUUACCAAGGCUUUGACGGGUAGCCGGCCUGGGUGGGUGACCGGCCACAUUGGGACUGAGAUACGGCCCAGACUCCUACGGGAGGCAGCAGUGGGGAAUAUUGCACAAUGGGAGGAAGCCUGAUGCAGCAACGCCGCGUGCGGGAUGACGGCCUUCGGGUUGUAAACCGCUUUCGCCUGUGACGAAGCGUGAGUGACGGUAAUGGGUAAAGAAGCACCGGCUAACUACGUG
rnacentral:rRNA from 1 species